GGAUCGAUGAUGACUCCCUACGCACACCAGCAUUCCUUAGGAAAGCAGAAAGGUGAACAAAAUGAGUGAGAACUCCCUCCAUCAGAAAAAAAGGGGAGUC
rnacentral:snoRNA from 1 species